rnacentral:rRNA from 1 species
CCUACGGGUGGCAGCAGUCGAGAAUCAUUCACAAUGGGGGAAACCCUGAUGCUGCGACGCCGCGUGGGGGAAUGAAGUUCUUCGGAUUGUAAACCCCUGUCAUGUGGGAGCAAAUUAAAAAGCUAGUACCACAAGAGGAAUAGACGGCUAACUCUGGGCCAGCAGCCGCGGUAAUACGGAGGUCUCAAGCGGUGGUCGGCAGCACUGGGCGUAAAGUGUGCGUAGGCUGGUUGGGAAGUCGGGUGGGAAAGGCGCGGGGUCAACCCGCGGACGGCAGCUGAUACUGCGAGACUAGAGUGAUGGAGGGGGAACCGGAAUGCUCGGUGUAGCAGUGAAAUGCGUAGAUAUC